UACGUAGGGUGCGAGCGUUAAUCGGAAUUACUGGGCGUAAAGCGUGCGCAGGCGGUUGUGCAAGACAGAGGUGAAAUCCCCGGGCUUAACCUGGGAAUGGCCUUUGUGACUGCAUAGCUAGAGUGUGUCAGAGGGGGGUAGGAAUUCCACGUGUAGCAGUGAAAUGCGUAGAGAUGUGGAGGAACACCGAUGGCGAAGGCAGCCCCCUGGGCCAACACUGACGCUCAGGCACGAAAGCGUGGGGAGCAAACAGG
rnacentral:rRNA from 1 species